AUGGUGAACAAGCUUCUACCUACCAUCAAGGCUUUGUGGCCGGCUUCGGAACGCGGACGCAUAAUAUACAUUCAGCAAGAUAAUGCAAAGAACCAUAUUGCUGUGAAUGACAAUGUGUUUUGUGCAGCAGCACAGGCGGAUGGAUGGGAUAUUAGCCUUACAUGUCAGCCGCCGAACUCACCUGAUUUGAACAUUCUUGACUUAGGGUUCUUUGCUGCACUUCAGGCUCUUUUUGAGAAGAUGUCCCCUGGUAAAAUUGUUGAUAUUGUUGCAAAGGUGAAAAAAGCAUAUGACACGUACCCGGCUGAGAGAAGCAACCGUAUUUUUCUUACCCUUCAGUCAUGCAUGUGCGAGGUACAGAAGCAGAAAGGAGGUAACUGGUACAAGGUUCCGCACAUGAGGAAGUCAUUUCUGGCGGCACUCGAAAUGCUUCCGAACGUAGUACCCUGCGAUGCUGAUGUUCUAAUUGCUGCUAUUGAAGCCCUUCCAGAUGCUUGA
rnacentral:rRNA from 1 species